UCAUUUUUGUGUUAGUGAAUAAAAUAAUUUUAUAAAAAUAAUAAACAAAACGCGAUGAGCUCGUGCCGUGUGUGUGUUAAUAGCUUUUAAUAUACGUACUUGCAACCAGGCGAGGCUUAUACUAAAAAAAUUAUGUAUGUGACAUACCCUCACAGAAAUAUUUACAUUUUAAUGUGCACCAAGUUUUUUUACCGGUAUUACUUAUGUUAAAGUUAUAGUUUAAUUCAUUUAAAUUAUAAUAUCAAACAGAAAAAAUGGCCUAAGCAGCACCAGGUAAAUCCAGAUCCCAAAACACGAAUUUAAACGAGGAAUUUAAGAAAUGGAACUCGUCAAAAUAAAUGAACAUUGGAUGGAAUAAGUUUUACAAUAAUUAGGAAAUCACGACACCAGUCGGAAAAUAUGUCAGAGUACUGAGAUGUUCUAAAUGCAGAUCUGGCA